AUUCCUGCUCUCUGACUUUCCCUGCCUUGACUAAUUCAGUGACAUCUGCAACCUAUCUAUCUGGCUGCACAGAGCUAUCUCAACGGGGUACAAAAGUGCCAGAUGUGGAAGAGGAUCAGAUUUUGGGUCCCCGCUUAACCUUCUCAUUUGAUGAAGUGCUCUUCUGGCAGACUUCAGAGUGGAAAUAAAUAGGAAGACCAUAAAUGAGUAAUCGUCAUGAUUCCAGCCUCUAUUGCUCCUCGUCAUUCUCACCACUGCUGAUCAGCUCAUGCUCUCCAUAGUACUGUGGCUGACAAGUUGCGACUCAGAGAAACGACUUUGAGUUAAACGGAGACAUCACCACGUCGCAAAGCUUUAAAUAUCAUCUAUGCGCUGGUGGGGGACUUCCCAGGAGGCGCUAGUGGUAAAGAACCCACCCGAGAAUGAAGGAGACAUAGAGAUGUGGGUUUGAUCCUUGGGUCAGGAAGAUCCACUGGAGGAGGGCAUGGCAACCCACUCCAGUAUUUUUGCCUGGAGAAUCUCAUGGACAGAGGAGCCUGGCAGGGUACAGUCCAUGUGACUUAGCACACAUGCACGCAUGUGCUGGUGACUGACUGCCACUUUGUAUGUCCACCCUUCACGUCUUGCCAACUUUAGGUUUAUAAAUUCAGUGGUCUACUCUAUAAUUCCCUUUGUAUAUGUAUUUUAUACCUAAACCUAUAUCUGGUUCUGGAUCUGGAUCUAGAUCUAGAUAUCUACUUUAAAAGUACAAAACUCAGUUGCUAGUCUUGUUCCCUCUCUUCCUAUAUAACUCCCUCCUAACAUCUUUUGACUCUCAUAAUUGGUUCCAUGUAUUAUUAUAUAAAUUUUAAAAGCAUUAAUGUAUCAAUAAAUGAAAUUUCAAGUACAGGGAAAAUAGAAUAAAGGAUAUUCCCUGCCAUCAAAGGGCUCACUAGGUAGUAGGGCAGACAGUACAUUGUCCUGAAGGUGUUUUUCUGCACAUCUCAAUGUUGUAAGAUCUGCUGUGGGACAGAAAGGACAAGGAGAUGUCCCCACAGAGUGAUAAUGAGAAGCUGACAUUUUGAGCUGCUUCUUGAAGGAUGAUGAAGUGGCUGUUGUCUGGUGUGUAUCGCAGUGCUGUGGUUUUCAAUUAGCUACUCUCAACUUAGUUGAGAGGAUUACACAUACCCACCCCACAGAUUAACUUUGGCCAUGCGACUUGCAUUUGCCACACGGAAUGUGAGCAGAAAUGUGGGCUACAUUUGAGCAGAAGCCUUAAAAGGCAUCACCAGCUUUUGUUGAUCUUCUCCUUCUUUUGUAAGAAUACCAUGUUCCAGAGAGGGGCUUCUUCUCCAGCCUGUAUCUCGAGAUGAAGAAGAGCCAUUGAAAAGAGCCACAGCCAGUGUGAAUCAGUGAGAAGUAAGACUUUGCUGCUGUAAGCUCCUGAGAUUUUUGGGGGUAGUUUACUGCUGCAACAUAAAUGACAAAUGCCAACUAAUAAAAAUCUUGGUACCAGACCUGGAGUGCAAUAGCAAACCUACAACAUGUGCCAUUGGCUUCCAGGUUAAGUGUUACAGAGCAAGGAAACUUCUUGGUGACUCAUUUAUUCAGUGGAGGAACAUUUGGUAAAAUUGUUACUUGCAAUACCUUGGAGGGUGACAGAUUAUGUUCCUGUAGAAGAUACCUGUAUCUGUAUUUUUAUCUUAUAUAGAAUAUACGUGUGUAAGAAUUUUGUUUUCUUCCUUUUCUUUUGGUUUUAUUUUACUUUUUAACUUAGUAUGCUUCCUUUUUUAUUGGAAUAUAAUUACUUUACAAUGCUGUGUUAGUUUCUGCAGUACAAUAACUAUAUAUAUAAAUAAAUAUAUAUAUAUAUAUAUAUAUAUAUAUAUAUCCAUAUCCCCUUCCCCUUGAACCUCCCUUUCACUGUCCCACUACA